rnacentral:rRNA from 1 species
UACGGAGGGGGCUAGCGUUGUUCGGAAUUACUGGGCGUAAAGCGCACGUAGGCGGACUGGAAAGUCAGAGGUGAAAUCCCAGGGCUCAACCUUGGAACUGCCUUUGAAACUCCCGGUCUUGAGGUCGAGAGAGGUGAGUGGAAUUCCGAGUGUAGAGGUGAAAUUCGUAGAUAUUCGGAGGAACACCAGUGGCGAAGGCGGCUCACUGGCUCGAUACUGACGCUGAUGGACGAAAGCGUGGGGAGCGAACAGG